GGAUCAAUGCCACGUCGCCAGUAGCAACGGCUGUGAUCGGAUGAUGUCAUGAUUGAACCAAAAUCAAAGUUUUUUGCAUGUUGAUAGGAACCUGUGAAUCGAUCUUCACCGUUCGUUUACGGAACCGUUUUCUGCGAUUACUAUU